UUGGCCAGUGAUGAUCUGUAUACCGCCCCAGUCUGAUCAAUGUGACUGAGUGGUUUGUUCUGAGACUGC